UACGGAGGGGGCUAGCGUUGUUCGGAAUUACUGGGCGUAAAGCGUACGUAGGCGGCUUGGUAAGUCAGAGGUGAAAGCCCACGACUCAAUCGUGGAACUGCCUUUGAGACUGCUUGGCUUGAAGAUGGGAGAGGUUAGUGGAAUUCCGAGUGUAGAGGUGAAAUUCGUAGAUAUUCGGAAGAACACCAGUGGCGAAGGCGGCUAACUGGACCAUUCUUGACGCUGAGGUACGAAAGCGUGGGGAGCAAACAGG
rnacentral:rRNA from 1 species